rnacentral:rRNA from 1 species
GAGACGGGUCCUUUGGGACGAAGUGACUGACACCACGCUUCCAGGAAAAGCCACUAAGCUUCAGCUGUAGAAAAACCGUACCGCAAACCGACACAGGUAGGCAGGGUGAGAAUCCCAAGGCGCUUGAGAGAACUCGGGUGAAGGAACUAGGCAAAAUGGCACCGUAACUUCGGGAGAAGGUGCGCCUCUUGGUGUGGUCACGUGCGUGACUGAGCAUCGAGGGGUCGCAGUAACCUGGCCGCUGCGACUGUUUAUCAAAAACACAGCACUCUGCAAACACGAAAGUGGACGUAUAGGGUGUGACGCCUGCCCGGUGCUGGUAGGUUAAUUGAUGGGGUCAGCCGCAAGGCGAAGCUCUUGAUCGAAGCCCCAGUAAACGGCGGCCGUAACUAUAACGGUCCUAAGGUAGCGAAAUUCCUUGUCGGGUAAGUUCCGACCUGCACGAAUGGCGUAACGACAGCGGCGCUGUCUCCACCCGAGACUCAGUGAAAUUGAAAUCGCUGUGAAGAUGCAGCGUUCCCGCGGCAAGGCGGAAAGACCCCGUGAACCUUUACUAUAGCUUUACACUGAACGUUGAGUUCUUCUGUGUAGGAUAGGUGGGAGGCUAUGAAACCAGGACGCUAGUUCUGGUGGAGCCAUCCUUGAAAUACCACCCUGAAGUGCUUGACGUUCUAACCUAGGUCCGUAAUCCGGAUCGGGGACCGUGUAUGGUGGGUAGUUUGACUGGGGCGGUCUCCUCCCAAAGAGUAACGGAGGAGCACGAAGGUACGCUCAGCGCGGUCGGACAUCGCGCACUGUGUGCAAAGGCAUAAGCGUGCUUGACUGCGAGAUCGACGGAUCAAGCAGGUACGAAAGUAGGUCUUAGUGAUCCGGUGGUUCUGUAUGGAAGGGCCAUCGCUCAACGGAUAAAAGGUACUCCGGGGGUAACAGGCUGAUACCGCCCAAGAGUUCAUAUCGACGGCGGUGUUUGGCACCUCGAUGUCGGCUCAUCACAUCCUGGGGCUGUAGCCGGUCCCAAGGGUAUGGCUGUUCGCCAUUUAAAGUGGUACGCGAGCUGGGUUCAGAACGUCGUGAGACAGUUCGGUCCCUAUCUGUCGCGGGCGUUGGAGAUUUGAGGGGGGCUGCUCCUAGUACGAGAGGACCGGAGUGGACGUUCCGCUGGUGUUCGGGUUGUCAUGCCCAUGGCAUUGCCCGGUAGCUACGAACGGAAGUGAUAACCGCUGAAAGCAUCUAAGCGGGAAGCACGCCCCAAGAUGAGAUCUCCCGAGAGCUUGACUCUCCUAAAGGCACCAUCAAGACUAGGUGGUUGAUAGGCACGGUGUGGAAGUGCAGCAAUGCAUUGAGCUUACGUGUACUAAUGAGCCGUGAGGCUUGACC